rnacentral:rRNA from 1 species
CCUACGGGAGGCAGCAGUGGGGAAUAUUGCACAAUGGGGGAAACCCUGAUGCAGCGACGCCGCGUGAGUGAAGAAGUAUUUCGGUACGUAAAGCUCUAUCAGCAGGGAAGAAAAUGACGGUACCUGACUAAGAAGCCCCGGCUAACUACGUGCCAGCAGCCGCGGUAAUACGUAGGGGGCAAGCGUUAUCCGGAUUUACUGGGUGUAAAGGGAGCGUAGACGGCAGCGCAAGUCUGGAGUGAAAUCCCAUGGCUUAACCAUGGAACUGCUUUGGAAACUGUGCAGUUAGAGUGCAGGAGAGGUAAGCGGAAUUCCUAGUGUAGCGGUGAAAUGCGUAGAUAUUAGGAGGAACACCAGUGGCGAAGGCGGCUUACUGGACUGUAACUGACGUUGAGGCUCGAAAGCGCGGGGAGCAAACAGGAUUAGAUACCCUAGUAGUC